UGCCAGCAGCCGCGGUAAUACGGAGGGUGCAAACGUAGCUCGGAAUUACUGGGCGUAAAGCGCGCGUAGGUUGAUUGGUCAGUCAGAUGUGAAAGCCCCGGGCUCAACCUGGGAACUGCACCUGAUACUGCUGAACUCGAGUACGGUAGAGGGUAGUGGAAUUUCCUGUGUAGCGGUGAAAUGCGUAGAUAUAGGAAGGAACACCAGUGGCGAAGGCGACUACCUGGACCGAUACUGACACUGAGGUGCGAAAGUGUGGGGAGCAAACAGGAUUAGAUA
rnacentral:rRNA from 1 species